GUAUUUCUUAGGCGAUACAUAUACUAAAUUUGGAAUGAUACAGAGAAGAGUAGCAUGGCCCCUGCACCACAAGGGUGACACAUAAAUGAAGCAUUCCACUUUUUA